UACGUAGGUGGCGAGCGUUGUCCGGAUUUACUGGGCGUAAAGCGCCCGUAGGCGGCCUGACAAGUUGGACGUGAAAGCUCCUGGCUUAACUGGGAGAGGCCGUUCAAAACUGUCAAGCUAGAGUCUGGAAGAGGAGAGCGGAAUUCCCGGUGUAGUGGUGGAAUGCGUAGAGAUCGGGAGGAACACCAGUGGCGAAAGCGGCUCUCUGGUCCAAAACUGACGCUGAGGGGCGAAAGCGUGGGGAGCGAACGGG
rnacentral:rRNA from 1 species